UACGGGGGGGGCAAGCGUUGUUCGGAAUUACUGGGCGUAAAGGGCUCGUAGGCGGCCAACUAAGUCAGACGUGAAAUCCCUCGGCUUAACCGGGGAACUGCGUCUGAUACUGGAUGGCUUGAGUUCGGGAGAGGGAUGCGGAAUUCCAGGUGUAGCGGUGAAAUGCGUAGAUAUCUGGAGGAACACCGGUGGCGAAGGCGGCAUCCUGGACCAAUAUUGACGCUGAGGAGCGAAAGCCAGGGGAGCAAACGGG
rnacentral:rRNA from 1 species